UACGAAGGGGGCUAGCGUUGCUCGGAAUUACUGGGCGUAAAGGGAGCGUAGGCGGGUUAUCAAGUUGGGGUGAAAGCCCGGGGCUCAACCUCGGAAUUGCCUUCAAAACUGAUAACCUGGAGUAUGGAAGAGGUAAGUGGAACUCCGAGUGUAGAGGUGAAAUUCGUAGAUAUUCGGAAGAACACCAGUGGCGAAGGCGACUUACUGGUCCAUUACUGACGCUGAGGCUCGAAAGCGUGGGGAGCAAACAGG
rnacentral:rRNA from 1 species